rnacentral:siRNA from 1 species
ACUGGGUUUAAGCCCGCGACCAGG